GACGAACCGUGCAAACGUUGUUCGGAAUCACUGGGCUUAAAGGGCGCGUAGGCGGGUGGCCAAGUCAGGGGUGAAAUCUUUCCGCUCAACGGGAAAACAGCUUCUGAUACUGGCCGUCUUGAGGGGGGUAGGGGCAUGUGGAACUUCCGGUGGAGCGGUGAAAUGCGUAGAUAUCGGAAGGAACGCCGGUGGCGAAAGCGACGUGCUGGACCCUUUCUGACGCUGAGGCGCGAAAGCCAGGGGAGCAAAC
rnacentral:rRNA from 1 species